UACGUAGGGGGGGCAAGCGUUUGUCCGGGAAUUUAUUGGGGCGUAAAGGGCUCGUAGGCGGUCCAUCGCGUCGGGAGUGAAAGCUGGGGCCUUAACCCCAGUCCUGCUCCGAUACGGGUGGACUAGAGGUAGGUAGGGGAGAGUCGGAAUUCCGGUGUGAGCGGUGAAAUGCGCAGAGUAUCAGGAGGAACACCGGUGGGCGAAGGCGGAUCUCUGGAACGGUACUGACGCUGAGACGCGAAAGCGUGGGGAGCGAACAGG
rnacentral:rRNA from 1 species